rnacentral:lncRNA from 1 species
GGAGAUGAAAGUCAAGUUUCAAUCCAGACUUUAAGAGUCGUCGAGCUUGUUUUUAAGUCUAAUAGUGUCAUUUUAAGUGAUUGUCACUAUUGUCUAUCUUUCUUGAUGAAUAUAAUUUUUAUUGGUCUUUUGGCCAAAGAUGGUUAUAAUUUAUCAAUAAAGACUGAUUAUUGUGAUAUCAUUAUGAAUGAUGUUACAAUAAUGUGAAGAUAAUUAAGAAAUGGCAUCUAUAUAUUGUCACAGCCUAUGAGUGUAAUGUAUACUCCAAAUAAAUAUCCAAAGUUAGACAAUGUCACUG